rnacentral:tmRNA from 1 species
GGGGCCGACCUGGUUUCGACGUGGGUGCGGAAUCGGAGCAGGGCAUGCCGAGCACCAGUUCGCUCGUAAAUCCACUGGAAACAAAGUAACUGCGAACGAUACCUCGUACGCCCUCGCCGCUUAACACCGGUGAGCCUUGCAGCAGAUCGCCGAUGGUCUGUGUUGGAAACAACGGCAAGGUCAUGCACAUCGGCUGGUUCUGAGCCGGGUCACACGACCCAGAACGAGACUACGUGACUGGCGGCGAUCGAAGGGUGCUCCUGCCCGUUGACGCUGCGAGACUCAAAUCAGAGAGCUACGCAUGUAGAACUGCCUGAGGAUGGCUUGCGGACGG